CUAAUUUAUUCCCAUAAUAUUUUGAUUCUAUUCCUGUAACGUAACAUUUUCCCGCAAAUUAAUUGUCCCAAAAUUGCAACUUUGUUCAUUGUUUUGUAUGUUUCUCAUAAUAUUUUCACAAAAAAACACAUUUUAUCUUUAAUGUUUCAACUUUAUGCUACUAAAAUCAUAAUAUGUUAUUCUCGGGAAAUUCCAACUUUUUUUUCUUAAUGAGACCUCCUGCGAUUGCCAAUGGCUUGACAAGUGUGUCGUGAGUGCACUGAGAGCUCGUGAUUGGUUCCUGCCAAAGAAAGAGCUAGUAGCUCCGAAGUCAAGGCCAUGUCCCGAGAUUAGAAUCUAGCCACAAAUUAGCCACACUGCUGUAUAAACUGCAGAGUUCAAAGUUUAAGAAAAAAAGUAGCGACUUGUACGACGGAAAUUAAUUUUUUAAUAUUGGUAAAUGUGUGAGAGGAAGUGUAGCUUGGUCGUGACAAUCAUCAGCCUGACGUGUGCUUUCGAUGUUUUCUCUCUUUUAUUGGAGGCGGAAGGCAAAGACACGCAUUUCACUUCAGUUUUCUCACAGACACCUCCCCCUCAGCCCCUCCCACCACUUGCUAUCUACAAAGUACUUCCUGUUCCUUCUCAAAAGCAAGAGCUACAUCCAUCGUACAUGUUAGAAACAGUUAUUAAAAAAAAUAGAAAUAAAAAUGUACAACAUACACUUGAUAUAUAUAUAUAAUAUAAUUUUUGCUCUUAUUUUUUUUUUUACAGAGGUAAAAAUACUAAGCGUAAAAAAUGGGUCUAAUUCAAUACAGGGAGUCUUUUUUUUUUUUUUUUUUAGUAAUUUAAAUACACAACAGAGAGAAGUUCAGGCACUUGUAAAUUGGCUCUGAAAGGACACACAAACACUGGAUGGAGGGAAAAAAAAGACACAAAGACACACUUUCCGAUCUGAUUGUCUUUCUCGCUGAUACAUGACACCACUGAAGUCAGCGGGAGUAACGCCAUCUUCAUUUCAUCCCCACAGACGCAGUGGAUGCAGGAUCAGGAGACGGGAAAAGGGUUGUGGCGUAAACACACAUACACAAAGUGGCGCACAGGACAAGCUGUGUGAGACGGAUGCAACCAGAGAAGGAAAAAGGACAUCCUCAGGCAUUCUGGAUUUUGACUACAAUGUGAUGACAUGCCGGAGUGAGACGCCGGCGGUAAUUUACGAGGGGCAGACGGGUCAAGGUCACCAUGCAAUCUUCUCUCGUGGUGGAGAGAGAGCAGUAGUGGUGUGUGUUGAGGCUUGGGAGAGAGCGGGCAUCCAGUCUGGCCGGCCAGCAGUCAGAGAAGAGUUGGGCAUAUGGAGGCUCGCUUUUGGGCCAGCAGCUCAGUCGCCACGAUGACCUGCACGCCCGACUCAUGGCCGCCCUCCAAGCGUAGACAAAGCUCUGUGGCGUGUGUCCACGGGCCAUGAGGGGUGUCGCAACUGCCAACAAAACACACAAAGACCCCCGUCCCCGGUGCUGGCUCUCGACCCUGUCUACCCGACAUCCCGAAGCACCCUCCACCACCACCACCACCACCACCACCACCUCAGACGCCGCUGCUCACUUGCCAAGAGGAGGAAGUUCCUCUGCUCUUCUUUUUUGAGGGCUGGGAGGCUGCUGCCAGGAGGACAAAUGAGAGACCCGAAGACCCUGUUCAGACCGACACAGGUAUUUUCAAGAGUUUUGCUUUUCAAAACAAUAUGCUUUCAAAAGAGUACUACAUUUGCAUCAUAAAAAUGCACCCUCGAAAAAAUCUGCCCUCACAAAUUCCUUGGCAUUAUAUUUGUCUCCCGCCAUAUCCGUGCGCACUGUCGCCUGGC